UACGGGGGGAGCAAGCGUUGUUCGGAUUUACUGGGCGUAAAGGGCGCGUAGGCGGUCGUGACAAGUCACUUGUGAAAUCUCCGGGCUUAACUCGGAACGGUCAAGUGAUACUGUCGGACUAGAGUACAGAAGGGGCAACUGGAAUUCUCGGUGUAGCGGUGAAAUGCGCAGAUAUCGGGAGGAACACCAAUGGCGAAGGCAGCUUGCUGGGACGGUACUGACGCUGAGGCGCGAAAGCCAGGGGAGCGAACGGG
rnacentral:rRNA from 1 species